rnacentral:rRNA from 1 species
GACGGGGGCCCGCACAAGCGGUGGAUUAUGUGGUUUAAUUCGAAGCAACGCGCAGAACCUUACUUAGGCUUGAAAUCCUGAGAAUCUUUUUUAAACGAAAGAGUGCCCUUCGGGGAAUUCAGUGACAGGCGCUGCAUGGCUGUCGUCAGCUCGUGUCGUGAGAUGUUGGGUUAAGUCUCGCAACGAGCGCAACCCCUAUCCUUAGUUGCCAGCAUUAAGUUGGGCACUCUAGGGAGACUGCCUGGGCUAACCAGGAGGAAGGUGGGGACGACGUCAAGUCCUCAUGGCCCUUAUGCCUAGGGCUACACACGUAAUACAAUGGUUGAUACAGAGGGAAGCGAACUCGCGAGGGGGAGCAAAUCUCAAAAAGUCAAUCUCAGUCCGGAUUGGAGUCUGCAACUCGACUCCAUGAAGUUGGAAUCGCUAGUAAUCGUGGAUCAGCACGCCACGGUGAAUACGUUCCCGGGCCUUGUACACACCGCCCGUCAAGCC